UCUACGGGUGGCAGCAGUGAGGAAUAUUCGUCAAUGGACGAGAGUCUGAACCAGCCACGCAGCGUGAAGGAUGACUGCCCUAUGGGCUGUAAACUUCUUUUAUAUGGGAAUAAAAUGUUCCUCGUGUGUGAACUUGUAUGUACCAUAUGUAUAAGGAUCGGCUAACUCCGCGCCAGCAGCAGCGGUAAUACGGAGGAUACGAGCGUUACCCGGAUUUAUUGGGUUUAAAGCGAGCGUAGGUGGUUUGUUAAGUCAGUUGUGAAAGUUUGCGGCUCAACCGUAAAAGUGCAGUUGAAACUGGGAGUCUUGAGUACAGUAGAGGUGAGCGGAAUUCGAGGUGUAGCGGUGAAAUGCUUAGAUAUCACGAGGAACACCAGUUGCGAAGGCAGCUCACUGGACUGCAACUGACACUGAGGCUCGAAAGUGUGGGUAUCAAACAGGAUUAGAUACCCCAGUAGUC
rnacentral:rRNA from 1 species